rfam:Aspergillus flavus AF70 450, whole genome shotgun sequence.
ACAUACGACCAUAGGGUGUGGAGAACAGGGCUUCCCGUCCGCUCAGCCGUACUUAAGCCACACGCCGGGAGGUUAGUAGUUGGGUGGGUG